UUACCGUUUCAAACCAUUCGAUGCAUGUUGUGGAUGUCCGUGGCCGUUAGAUUUCAUUCUAAUCCCGACCUCUUUUGCUGAGCUUCGAGCGCUGCAUGUUUGGGCUACUACUCCCGUAACAAAUUCAGAGAUCUGAUGUAAACUUCGGCCAAAUGGGCUUGGGCCAAGCAUGUUAUAGCCGCAGAGCCACGGUCGCCCCUCCUGUCCCGUUCGCAUUCUUCUUGCUCUAAUCUCUCUCUCUCUCGUUUGCCUGCUCCCCUCCCUGACCUCUUGUUGUUUCGAGAUGCGUGAACGAACUAGCGCUCCAGACAUCAGCACAGCACUACGCCCCUAGGGAGUAAGGGAGAUGAAGGAGAUGAGAGGGAUAGGAUCAUAGAGAAAGAUGAUUCUCGUGGUGCGUAGGCAACGCCCUAUCUUCCUCUGCACCACAGGACCAGUAGAUCCAUCUUCCACAGCGACGGCAGGGCGGUGUUGGUUCUUUUCUGAGCGCUAUAGUGACGCCUUACCCUCCCGCUCCCCUUCUCUCUUCUCUCCGCUCUCCACCUGCCUGCCAACACCACUCCAGUCGCCCCCUCCGCGCGCGCGCUGCUCCAUCUAUCCGCUGAUUUGGUCCAUCCAGAUGUUCUUGGAUCCACCAAUCUCUUACCGGGGAAAAAAGUGAAGAAAGUCACUAUUAAUUCCCUUAUACUCUAUGUUUUUAGGACCCUUUAUUUACGAUUUUCUCGAUCUAUGGAUUUUAUGGUCUGUGAUGUUUUUAGGACCCUUUAUUUACGAUUUUCUCAAUCUAUGGAUUUUAUGGUGUGCUAUGUUGCCCCUUUUCACCUGGUAUUUGUCUCCCAUGGUACCUCAACAUCUGAACCCGUUAGUACAAUUAGCUUGGCUAUUUAUAUUGUUUGGAGAUGAAUACAAAAUUCGCCUCACGUGUACACUUAGCAAUUGGUUAUACUAACAUUUGAACCCAUCAUUACAAUUAGCUUGGCUAUUUAUCUUGUUUGGAGAUGAAUCCAAAAUUCGCCCCAGUGUACACUUAGCAAUUGGUUAUACUAACUGUGCAUCAUUCUACAAUGAUAAAUUUUCUAAGUUCACGAUCAUAUACUGGGACUGUUUAUAUUGUCUUAGUCGCCAUUUUGUGUGUAUAAUUUGAGAUGCAUUACAAACUGACCUUAAUAUUUUGUCAUACAAUUUUGCACUCCUCCAGCUCCACAUUUCUUAUAAUCAUUUUUCAGAUUCUUGCAGUCCAUUUACUUCUAAAUAGGGGAAGUCCUCAUAAUGCAUGUCUUUGGUCCAGACCGUAAUAUAGACAGUUGCCUCAAGCAGAUCAGGCUACAAAUUUGCAUCCAUGAAUGACAACUAUGCGAAUCUCAAGAUCUGCUCUAAAUGGCAUAGAAUUCUGAUUGUUUUAUCAUGAAUUCAAUACCAAAGAUAACAAUGGUUUUUUCAACCUUGGUCAGCAGCAUGACACUAGUAGCACUUAAGCUUAUUAUUGAGGGAUUGCAGAACUAGAAAUGUUACUAUUUUGCUACCAUCAAUAUCCAUGUAACUACUCUCCCAUUGGUGCUUUAACUGAAACAAUAUUUUUGUCGGUGUUACUAAUGUGUUGUUGAGUAGAAUCUAAGUGCGUGCUAGCACUGUUGUUUUGAUGGCAUUAUCAAUUUUCAAUCUUAUCCACUUCCUUU